UGUGCCAGCCGCCGCGGUAACACGUAGGGCGCAAGCGUUAUCCGGAUUUAUUGGGCGUAAAGGGCUCGUAGGCGGCUCAUCGCGUCCGGUGUGAAAGUCCAUCGCUUAACGGUGGAUCUGCGCCGGGUACGGGCGGGCUGGAGUGCGGUAGGGGAGACUGGAAUUCCCGGUGUAACGGUGGAAUGUGUAGAUAUCGGGAAGAACACCGAUGGCGAAGGCAGGUCUCUGGGCCGUCACUGACGCUGAGGAGCGAAAGCGUGGGGAGCGAACAGGA
rnacentral:rRNA from 1 species